GACGAACGCUGGCGGCGUGCUUAACACAUGCAAGUCGAACGGAAAGGCCCUGCUUUUGUGGGGUGCUCGAGUGGCGAACGGGUGAGUAACACGUGAGUAACCUGCCCUUGACUUUGGGAUAACUUCAGGAAACUGGGGCUAAUACCGGAUAGGAGCUCCUGCUGCAUGGUGGGGGUUGGAAAGUUUCGGCGGUUGGGGAUGGACUCGCGGCUUAUCAGCUUGUUGGUGGGGUAGUGGCUUACCAAGGCUUUGACGGGUAGCCGGCCUGAGAGGGUGACCGGCCACAUUGGGACUGAGAUACGGCCCAGACUCCUACGGGAGGCAGCAGUGGGGAAUAUUGCACAAUGGGCGGAAGCCUGAUGCAGCAACGCCGCGUGCGGGAUGACGGCCUUCGGGUUGUAAACCGCUUUCGCCUGUGACGAAGCGUGAGUGACGGUAAUGGGUAAAGAAGCACCGGCUAACUACGUGCCAGCAGCCGCGGUGAUACGUAGGGUGCGAGCGUUGUCCGGAUUUAUUGGGCGUAAAGGGCUCGUAGGUGGUUGAUCGCGUCGGAAGUGUAAUCUUGGGGCUUAACCCUGAGCGUGCUUUCGAUACGGGUUGACUUGAGGAAGGUAGGGGAGAAUGGAAUUCCUGGUGGAGCGGUGGAAUGCGCAGAUAUCAGGAGGAACACCAGUGGCGAAGGCGGUUCUCUGGGCCUUUCCUGACGCUGAGGAGCGAAAGCGUGGGGAGCGAACAGGCUUAGAUACCCUGGUAGUCCACGCUGUAAACGGUGGGUACUAGGUGUGGGGUCCAUUCCACGGGUUCCGUGCCGUAGCUAACGCUUUAAGUACCCCGCCUGGGGAGUACGGCCGCAAGGCUAAAACUCAAAGGAAUUGACGGGGCCCCGCACAAGCGGCGGAGCAUGCGGAUUAAUUCGAUGCAACGCGUAGAACCUUACCUGGGUUUGACAUGGAUCGGGAGUGCUCAGAGAUGGGUGUGCCUCUUUUGGGGUCGGUUCACAGGUGGUGCAUGCCUGUCGUCAGCUUGUGUCGUGAGAUGUUGGGUUAAGUCCCGCAACGAGCGCAACCCUUGUUCACUGUUGCCAGCACGUUAUGGUGGGGACUCAGUGGAGACCGCCGGGGUCAACUCGGAGGAAGGUGGGGAUGACGUCAAGUCAUCAUGCCCCUUAUGUCCAGGGCUUCACGCAUGCUACAAUGGCUGGUACAGAGAGUGGCGAGCCUGUGAGGGUGAGCGAAUCUCGGAAAGCCGGUCUCAGUUCGGAUUGGGGUCUGCAACUCGACCUCAUGAAGUCGGAGUCGCUAGUAAUCGCAGAUCAGCAACGCUGCGGUGAAAACGUUCCCGGGGCU
rnacentral:rRNA from 1 species